ensembl:rRNA 5S_rRNA 5S ribosomal RNA
GUCUACGGCUGCGCCACCCUGAACACGCCUGAUCCCAUCUGAUCCCGUCUGAUCUCGGAAGCUAAAGCAGGGUCGAGCCUGAUUAGUACUUGGAUGAGAGUAGGAAGACCUAGGAAGACCUUGGAUG